GGAGGGGUGUGCCGAAUGGUAAGGCAGCGGUCUUGAAAACCGCCGGGAGAAAUCCCUUGCAGGUUCGAGUCCUGUCCCCUCCG
rnacentral:tRNA from 3 species